GUGAGGAAUAUUGGACAAUGGGCGGGAGCCUGAACCAGCCAAGUCGCGUGAAGGAAGAAGGAUCUAUGGUUCGUAAACUUCUUUUGCAGGGGAAUAAAGUGCAGGACGUGUCCUGUUUUGUAUGUACCCUGAGAAUAAGGAUCGGCUAACUCCGUGCCAGCAGCCGCGGUAAUACGGAGGAUCCGAGCGUUAUCCGGAUUUAUUGGGUUUAAAGGGUGCGUAGGUGGUUUGAUAAGUCAGCGGUGAAAGUUUGCAGCUUAACUGUAAAAAUGCCGUUGAAACUGUCGGACUUGAGUGUAAAUGAGGUAGGCGGAAUGCGUGGUGUAGCGGUGAAAUGCAUAGAUAUCACGCAGAACUCCGAUUGCGAAGGCAGCUUACUAAGCUACAACUGACACUGAAGCACGAAAGCGUGGGGAUCAAACAGGAUUAGAAACCCCAGUAGUCC
rnacentral:rRNA from 1 species